rnacentral:rRNA from 1 species
UACGGAGGAUGCGAGCGUUAUCCGGAUUUAUUGGGUUUAAAGGGUGCGUAGGCUGUUAUAUAAGUCAGUGGUGAAAUAUUCGGGCUCAACCGGGAUACUGCCAUUGAUACUGUAUAGCUGGAAUAUGGUUGCUGUGGGUGGAAUGUGUGGUGUAGCGGUGAAAUGCAUAGAUAUCACACAGAAUAUCGAUUGCGAAGGCAACUCACAAAGCCAUUAUUGACGCUGAUGCACGCAUGGGCAGCGUGAGAUGUGU